rnacentral:tRNA from 1 species
UUAAUAAUAGUUUAUAUAAAACCUGAAUUUGCAAAAUUCAUGAAUACUAUAUGUAUUAUUGGU